GUCCUCCAGAUUUCUAAUCCAUCAGAUCUAAAGAUUAUUCUGAGUGGCUAUAAAAAGGAGGAAAAGUAAUAUUGAACCAGACGUGUAGUCAUUAGCACAUAUAAGUACAUUUCAAACAAUC
rnacentral:snoRNA from 1 species